GUCCCCGUAGCGCAAUGGAUAGCGCGUUGGCCUCCGGAGCCAAAGGUUACAGGUUCGACUCCUGUCGGGGACG
rnacentral:tRNA from 1 species